CCGGUUCUCGUACGAUCACUGAAGUUAAGCAACGUUGAGCUUGGUUAGUACCUACAUGGGUGAUCACUUUGGUAUACCAGGUACUGUAA